rnacentral:rRNA from 1 species
AGGACGAACGCUGGCGGCGUGCUUAACACAUGCAAGUCACGGGGGCCCGCAAGGGUAACCGGCGAACGGGUGCGUAACACGUGAGCAACCUGCCUAGAUGUGGGGGAUAGCCGGCCCAACGGCCGGGUAAUACCGCAUACGGUCACGAGGAGGAGUCUCCUUGUGAAGAAACCUCCGGGGCAUUUAGAGGGGCUCGCGGCCUAUCAGCUAGUUGGCGGGGUAAUGGCCCACCAAGGCUUCGACGGGUAGCUGGUCUGAGAGGAUGGCCAGCCACAUUGGGACUGAGAGACGGCCCAGACUCCUACGGGAGGCAGCAGUGGGGAAUCUUGCGCAAUGGCCGAAAGGCUGACGCAGCGACGCCGCGUGUGGGAGGACGCCCUUCGGGGUGUAAACCACUGUUGCCCGGGACGAACAUCCACUUUCGAGUGGACUGACGGUACCGGGUGAGGAAGCACCGGCUAACUCCGCGCCAGCAGCCGC